GCUCUGUUGUUAGGGACGAACAAGUACCGUUCGAAUAGGGCGGUACCUUGCCGGUACCUAACCAGAAAGCCACGGCUAACUACGUGCCAGCAGCCGCGGUAAUACGUAGGUGGCAAGCGUUGUCCGGAAUUAUUGGGCGUAAAGGGCUCGCAGGCGGUUUCUUAAGUCUGAUGUGAAAGCCCCCGGCUCAACCGGGGAGGGUCAUUGGAAACUGGGGAACUUGAGUGCAGAAGAGGAGAGUGGAAUUCCACGUGUAGCGGUGAAAUGCGUAGAGAUGUGGUAGGAACACCAGUGGCGAAGGCGACUCUCUGGUCUGUAACUGACGCUGAGGAGCG
rnacentral:rRNA from 2 species